rfam:Mesocricetus auratus contig023762, whole genome shotgun sequence.
CAAAAGGCCCUUUUCAGGGCCACCCACAGACUCAACAAAGAGUUGU